CAAUCUCACGCAAAUCUCUCAACCCUAAGCCCCAAUUUCACUAAUAAUUCAAUAAAUUGAUUUUAAUGCAUGUUUUCCCUUGUCAAAACCAGUGGGUUUGGUGGAAGAGUAGUAUUGUUGCAAGAGAAGGUCAGAAGCAAGGAUUAGAGAGCUGUUAAUGGGUCGGAAGAGUUGGAAGAGCUCAUAGCUAGCCUUUAAGUCUCUUGGGUGUUAUUGGCACUUUAAGGUAAGUAAAUUCUGCACUUUUUCGUCUGGACCUGUCUUCACUAAUCAAGUCAUAUCUGAUAAACCGUAAUUCGGAUUGAAAUUCCGUUUGUUUCUAUGGAUAGCUAACUCAAAUACGGUCGUUGUGGUACCGGUUGCAUAAUUUUUCGACGAGCGAUGAGGUCGAUAAACAUUUUUGAAGUUGGAAGUCAGUAGCAGAGCUUGUGCAGAAAAAUCUGGUUUUUUGGUGUUUUAUGGACUACGGAUUUGCAUUUUGAGCGGCACAAACGGAUGAUUAUAAGCAUGCGAAACAGUUCGGAAUCUCUAUCAAACUCAGGUGGGUUCCUUUAGGUAUUAGCAAUACAUUAUUUAAUUGGCCAUUAAGUAGAGCCAUUAGUAAUUAAGUCAUAGAUACAUUACUUUGGAGUAUUAGCAUUCCCAUUGUACUCCUAAUGUUCAUCAAACCUUAUUGAUGAACAUGAAUUAUACAUAAAUAAGCUAACCCUUCCCCAUUGCUUAUUAUGUGAAUUUUAGAUUAGGUGUUUUGUGAUGAUGCUUAAACCCAAAGCUCAUUAAUGCGUUAAAAUUAUGUUUAAGAGCAUGCAAGUUGUGUCAAUGAUCAACUGGACUGCAGGUGUUGAUUUUACAAUUUGUUGGAUCCGUUCACGAGUCAUGUUUCCGAGUUUGACUUGAGAAUGAAUUCUUACUACUUUUAUUACUGAACAACACUCGUUUNNNNNNNNNNNNNNNNNNNNNNNNNNNNNNNNNNNNNNNNNNNNNNNNNNNNNNNNNNNNNNNNNNNNNNNNNNNNNNNNNNNNNNNNNNNNNNNNCUGUGCUGUUCUGUCAUGUGUUGUGUUGUUCUGUCUUGUACUGUUCUGUCCAGUACUUACCCUUUAACAAAUCAAACACACCCAUAGUGUUAUUUAAGUAAUGAUUAUGUUCCCUUGGAUCAGGAUAUGCACGGGUAGGAUAACAACUAAUGAUUAGGUGAUUCCUAUUAUUAGGAAUCCAUUAAGUUAAGAUUAUUAGAAUUAAAUCAGUUGAUCUUAUGAAAUUGAUUAUGGGCCUUGUGCCAUAUUUCAGAAUGAAAUGUUUCGGUGGCCUUUGUACCACAUUUAUGAAUAAAAUGUUAAGUCGUGAUCCUGGUGAUACCGGAGACUACCUGAUAUAGGAGUUGGAUAAUCUGGUUGGAUUCCCAGAGGGAAUUCCACAUGACAAUAAGAUGAGUCAAGGAGUCGUGUCCUAGCCCUCGAUAGGGAAUUUGACCGUAGAUAGACCUCCUGAGCCUAACUCACCUCAUGUUGUCUAUGUAAAAUGUAUGAAGAUAAUAAUUGUGUGUUACACCUUUAUUUAUGUUUAUGGUGUUCUUUAAUGAAUAUGAAUUAUAAGUGAACUACUGAUGAAUUAUCAAAAUUAUGCAUUCAGGUUUAAGACAAGAAUAGAAACUAUUAGUUUCAAUUACCCGGUGUAGUCACCAGUAGUUGGGUAGUAGGAGCUCACUGAGGCUUAAUAGUCUCAACCCACUCCAUUUAUGUUUUUUUUUUCAGAUAGUCAGGUUUACUAGAGCAAGAACCAGGUGGGAACUGAUGGUCGAGAUUGAGCUUGGAUUAUCCGAUGAGAAGAUUUGUCUUCUUCCUUGUUUUUGUAUUAAUCUGUUGUUUCCAUUAGUUUCCUUCCGUUGUGAAUUUUUGUAAUUAGAAGCCAUUCUGUAAUUUAAUGUACUCGGAUUCAAUGAUGUAAAUUCUGACUAAAUAUUCUAGACAUUUUAGUUGGGGUGUUAUAUUGAUUGUAGUCCUUAAAAAUAUAUUUCUUCGACUUUAUUUUAUAUAUAGGGUGGUACUGGUAGUCUCUUUGUUGCUCCCUUAUUUAUCGAAAAAAAAAGUUUUCAAACCAAAUAAAUAGGCUUAAAUGCAUUUUUGGUCCCCCUAUUUUCAAAAAAAUGAAGUUUUGAUUCCCUUAUUUUAAAAACCAACUUUUUAGUCCCCCUAUUUUCAUUUUUUUUGAGUUUUGAUCCCCAUCCUAUUUUGGGGUUAAUUUUGUUGAUGUGGCCUUGUAACUAAUGAUCUGGCAACAUUCAUGUGGACAGAUUUAAUAUCCAUGUCAUUAUUAUAUAUUUUUAAAUUCAAUAAAACUUUAUUUAUAAAAUAUUUUAAUUGUUAGAAUUAUAUAUUGAACUGAAAUAAUAAUUGUUAAAUCUUAUAAAAUAUGAAAUUUGAAACCUUAAUUAUCAAACCUUCAACUACUAGAAUUUUAUUCACUGUCGGAGAGAAUCCUUUCUUAUGGAUUUCAUUAAUCCUAUGGUUUCCGUUCAAACUCAACAAUUUUUGGAUUUUUAAAAAAGAAAAGAAAUUAGAGAUGAUUUUGUGUUUCAAUAGAAAUUACUCAUACUCUUUAAACUAUCUAUGACUUUGGAUGAGUUUGAAUGAAAAACCCAAAAAUUGUUUUAAGUUUGAAGUUUAAUUCUAGAUUGGUUUUAUAUAAAGUUGGAUAAUGAUGAAAGUUGAAGGUUCUUGAAACACAAAACUUGCUUUCAAUAUGCAAUUGUUUGAUAUGAAUCAAAGAGGAUCAUGUCCAUGUUGUGAUUCUUUGUUUUUUCUUAGGUUUAAUAAAUUAGAGGUUGUGAAUUUUU
rnacentral:lncRNA from 1 species